rnacentral:rRNA from 1 species
GCAUAAGCGCACAGCUUCGCAUGAAGCAGUGUGGAAAACAAAAAGCUAAAGCUUUUGGUGGUAUACGAUGGAUCCGCGUCUGAUUAGCUGGUUGGCGGGGUAAAGGCCCACCAAGGCGACGAUCAGUAGCCGGCCUGAGAGGGUGAACGGCCACAUUGGGACUGAGACACGGCCCAAACUCCUACGGGAGGCAGCAGUGGGGAAUAUUGCACAAUGGGGGAAACCCUGAUGCAGCGACGCCGCGUGAGUGAAGAAGUAUUUCGGUACGUAAAGCUCUAUCAGCAGGGAAGAAAAUGACGGUACCUGACUAAGAAGCCCCGGCUAACUACGUGCCAGCAGCCGCGGUAAUACGUAGGGGGCAAGCGUUAUCCGGAUUUACUGGGUGUAAAGGGAGCGUAGACGGCAGCGCAAGUCUGGAGUGAAAUCCCAUGGCUUAACCAUGGAACUGCUUUGGAAACUGUGCAGCUAGAGUGCAGGAGAGGUAAGCGGAAUUCCUAGUGUAGCGGUGAAAUGCGUAGAUAUUAGGAGGAACACCAGUGGCGAAGGCGGCUUACUGGACUGUAACUGACGUUGAGGCUCGAAAGCGUGGGGAGCAAACAGGAUUAGAUACCCUGGUAG